UACGGAGGAUGCGAGCGUUAUCCGGAUUUAUUGGGUUUAAAGGGAGCGCAGACGGGUCGUUAAGUCAGCUGUGAAAGUUUGGGGCUCAACCUUAAAAUUGCAGUUGAUACUGGCGUCCUUGAGUGCGGUUGAGGUGUGCGGAAUUCGUGGUGUAGCGGUGAAAUGCUUAGAUAUCACGAAGAACUCCGAUUGCGAAGGUAGCACACUAAGCCGUAACUGACGUUCAUGCUCGAAAGUGUGGGUAUCAAACAGG
rnacentral:rRNA from 1 species